rnacentral:rRNA from 1 species
GAUGAACGCUGGCGGCGUGCCUAAUACAUGCAAGUCGAGCGAACAGACGAGGAGCUUGCUCCUCUGACGUUAGUGGCGGACGGGUGAGUAACACGUGGAUAACCUACCUAUAAGACUGGGAUAACUUCGGGAAACCGGAGCUAAUCCCGGAUAAUAUAUUGAACCGCAUGGUUCAUUAGUGAAAGACGGUUUUGCUGUCACUUAUAGAUGGAUCCGCGCCGCAUUAGCUAGUUGGUAAGGUAACGGCUUACCAAGGCAACGAUGCGUAGCCGACCUGAGAGGGUGAUCGGCCACACUGGAACUGAGACACGGUCCAGACUCCUACGGGAGGCAGCAGUAGGGAAUCUUCCGCAAUGGGCGAAAGCUUGACGGAGCAACGCCGCGUGAGUGAUGAAGGUCUUCGGAUCGUAAAACUCUGUUAUUAGGGAAGAACAAAUGUGUAAGUAACUAUGCACGUCUUGACGGUACCUAAUCAGAAAGCCACGGCUAACUACGUG